UUUUGCCAAAGCUGAUUCCACUUGUUCAAAUGUUUGUUUUGGGUUCUUAUGUUUGAAUUCUGAAUUUUUUUAAGACCUAUAGGGAAUUGAAUAUUUGAGGGCUUGCAUCUUUUUUCUUUUGUUCUAAACUUGGCAAGUUGGUAAAUACAUAGUACUUUUAGAUUAAAAAAUGUCUUCUCCAAGCAAGAGCUGCGUCAUCACUACCUAAGGUACUAAAUUUGUAUCUUUUAAUUUUUAAUUUUUGCAAGGUGGGUUUUUAUUUUAUUUUUAUUCUCUCUUAUGUUCUUGGGUUUGAUGAUGGCAAAUACCUGUUAGUUUAUGUGAUGCUGCGUAGUUUGAUGUUGGAUAUCCUAUGAAUGGUGUUGCUUAGUCACAUAAAAUUGUGUAUGUGGAAUCAUAGAGUAUGAUUACUGUUGCUUUGUUGCAUAAAUAUUAGUUUGAAAUGACUUGGCUGUAUUGAUUGCCAUAUUCUCAUGAGAUCCGUGGUUGGUCCUUGGAAAACUUACUUGUUCAUGACUUAUGCAAUAUAUGAUUUGGAAGGAUUGCAAUUCUUGAUCUGGUCUUGAUAGAUAGCAUUACCAUUGCUUGAUUUUGUUGGUAGUACGAGCUCGUUUGGUAAAGAAUACCAUUGUGGAAUUGUGCACUCCCAAGGGCAGCCCUACGAUUUCCAUUAGGCGUGUUUUUUUCACUUGGUUUGGUAAGAUAUUGUUGAGUAGCUUUUGAAUUACUGUCUCAUUUUCUCCAUUGCUUCUACGGGACCUUUCAAGCUUAAUGGUGUUCCUCUUAGACAUGUAAAUCAAUCUUAUUUGAUUGAUACUUCGACCAAGGUGGACAUCUCUGGCGUCAAUGUUGAAAAGUUUUUUUUUUUGGAACUGGACAAUGUUGAAAAGUUUGAUGACAAGUAUUUUGCAAAGCAAGUCGAGAAGAAGAAAAAGAAGGGAGAAGGCGAGUUCUUUGAGGCAAAGAAAGACAUUUGCUUAUAAUCCUUUACUAAAAUUGUGAAAAAGGCAUUAAAUUUUUGUUGUUUUUUUGGACUUAUUUAGUUUAAAUAUAUUUUUGCACUUAUUUGGCUUAGAUUUGUUUGUUAUUACAUCAAGCUGCCUUCUUUAGUUAAAUUCUUUGGCCUGUACUAUAUUUUAGAAUCUUGGCAAACGGGGCCUCAUAAUUGUGUUGAAUCUUUCAGUGCAUAUCUCCUGAAUAGGUUUUGAACAGAUUCGGAACAGAUUAUAUUUGGUUUUGAACAGGUUCUGAAGAGGUUAAUUUCAGAUUUUGAACAGAUUCUGAACAGAUUUUGAACAGGUUCUGAAGAGGUUAAUUUCAGAUUUUGAACAGAUUCUGAACAGGUUUUGAAUAGGUUCUGAACAGGUUAAU